AUUGAACGCUGGCGGCAUGCCUUACACAUGCAAGUCGAACGGCAGCACGGGAGCAAUCCUGGUGGCGAGUGGCGAACGGGUGAGUAAUGUAUCGGAACGUGCCCAGUCGUGGGGGAUAACGUAGCGAAAGCUACGCUAAUACCGCAUACGAUCUAUGGAUGAAAGCGGGGGAUCGCAAGACCUCGCGCGAUUGGAGCGGCCGAUAUCACGAUUAGGUAGGUGGUGGGGUAAAGGCUCACAAAGCCGACGAUCUGUAGCCGGUCUGAGAGGGCGACAAGCCAGACUGGGACUGACACACGGCCCAGACCCCUACGGGAGGCAGCAGUGGGGAAUUUUGGACAAUGGGGGAAAGCCUGGUCCAGCAAUGCCGCGUGCAGGAUGAAGGCCUUCGGGUUGUAAACUGCUUUUGUACGGAACGAAACGGCGAACUCUAAUACAGUUUGCUAAUGACGGUACCGUAAGAAUAAGCACCGGCUAACUACGUGCCAGCCGCCGCCGUAA
rnacentral:rRNA from 1 species